GCGCCCCAGAAUAACUAUCAAAAAAAUUAAUUAGGGACUUGCAUCCUAAAUUCAAUUGAUCCAAAAUCUUAGACACCUAACAAUUGAAGUCUAAUGAACCUAAUUCAUUUAGAUUAUUAGCAGAUAAUUAAGUUUAAAUUAUCUUAUCAAAUAAGAAAUCCAAACGAAAAGAGAAAAUUGGAUCCAACCAUGUGCUAGCAAGGUUACCUUGAACCC
rnacentral:lncRNA from 1 species